GCUGCAAAUGCAGUACUUCAAGGCAGAGGCAUGAUCAUAUUUGGGUGUUGGUCAAAGUACCCCUGCAGGAAGUAGAGUUAUGAGGGUUGGACUGAGGGUGUGAGAAAAUUGAGUAGGGAGACGGGAGACGCCAGACUAAGGCGGGACAGUGCCAGCAACUCUGUUGGAGACUGGUGGAGAAGGAGGCGGCUGCGCCAGUUCCGUGUAGACUGUUCUUUUCCAGCCCUUGGUGAAGAAAGGUUUUCCUGGUGUCUUUGCAAAAGCUCAGGAUCGGACUUUGUCAGCAAGGUGGGUCCCUCCUCUCGGCAUAGCAAGCUUGUUUCUACCCUGGUCCCGAGAACCUCAGAGGCUGAAGCUUGAGUCCCCACCUGAAGGUAAGUUCUCAGUAGGGGAGCAGAGCCUUGGCAGCCAAGUGGAGUUGCCCAAGUGUUCGAGACCCAGGCAUGCUGGGAGUAAAAGCAUUCCUAUGAAGAACUUGACAACGGGGAGCAGGAAUCUGCUUUGGAAAGCGAGACCCCAGUUCUGAGACCUCUUCACAUAGCUUAGGGCUGAAGCCGGAGGGUCACGUGGAGGGUGGCAGCUCCCAAGGUCCAUGUACCUGGGGCUGGGCAUGGUGGCUCAUGCCUGUAAUCCCAGCACUUUGGGAGGCUGAGGCGGGCAGAUCACCUGAGGUCAGGAGUUUGAGACCAACCUGGCUAACAUGGCAAAACCCUGUCUCUACUAAAAAUACUAACAUUACCUGGGUGUGGUAGUGGGUGCCUAUAAUCCCAGCUACUCAGGAGGCUGAGGCUGGAGAAUCGCUUGAACCCAGGAGGCAAAGGUUGCAGUGAGCCAAGAUCGCACCACUGCACUCCAGCCUGGGCAACAAGAGCAAAACUCCAUAAAAAACCCAAGGUCCAUGUGCCUGAAAUGGUCCCAGCCCGCUGGGGGACACAGCAAACAUGGGUUUGCUGGGUGGUCACGUUGAGGGAUCAUCUAGGUUUCAGUUGAGUGGAAGGUUUGCUAGGAGGAGAAAGAGGCUCUUGCUUUAGGGAGUACAAGUUUGUGGGCUCAGGGCCAGAGCAUGUCCCUGGUGCUCAGAGGACAAGCCCGGACCACACUGUCCCUGGAUCCUACGCUAUAGUCAAGCCAUAGAAUUUGCUUUCUUUGGGGUGGGGGUUGGGGGGGAGCCAAUCUUUUUUUUUUUUUAAGUGACUGAUCUCGGCAUUCUGCAACCUCCGCCUCCUGGGUUCAAGCAAUUCUCCUGCUUCCACCUCCCGAGUAGCUGGGAUUAUAGGCGCCCACUACCACAUCCGGCUAAUUUUUGUAUUUUUGGUAAAGAUGGGGUUUUGCCAUGUUGGCCAGGCUGGCCUCAAACUCCUGACCUCAGGUAAUCCACCUGCCUCAGCCUCCCAAAGUGUUGGGAUUACAGGCGUGAGCCACCACGCCUGGCCAGAGUUUGCUUUCUUAAACUGAGUUUUUUGUUUCUCCUUCUCACGUCAAAGACCAAACAAAACGGGUGUGAGAGAGACAUUCAGAACCGCCACGCACAGUAGAGGGUGAGCCGGCACUCACGCCCAGGGCUCCCGAGCACCAGACAGGGUCUUCUUCCACUGUUCCAUAAUCAUGGCUAAGACUUGGCCCGUCCCACCUUCUCCGCCUUCAGCCCUCCCCAUGGCUUCCCUUUCACCAGGGGAAGGACUUUGAUAGGAGCCCAUGGGGAGAAAACCCAGUAAAAUGCAUGUAUAUUCUUAUGAAAUAUUUACAUGUGAAACAGCACCAAUUUAUCGUUGAAGAAAUUAGAAAAUAUCAAUAUGUUAAGAAAAAAAUCCGCCCAGUGAGGCAGCUCAUGCCUGUAAUCCCAGCAACUUUGGGAGGCUGAGGCAGGAGGAUCACUUGAGCCCCUAGGAGUUCGAGACCAGCCUGGGCAACAUGGUGAAACCCUGUCUCCACAAAAAAUACAAAAAUUAGCCAGGCAUGGUAGUAUGUGUCGUAGUCCCAGCUACUUGGGAGGCUGAGGC
rnacentral:lncRNA from 1 species